ACCCUUGUCUAAGCAAACUCCCCACCUCCCUCAAAGCUUGAAUUUGCUCUCCAUCUCCUAACCCCACUUUUGCUCUCUAUUUUUGUUCCAAUGUCCAUAUGGUUCCCAAACAUGACAUGAGCUCACCCCCAAAGUGAGUACUUGCUCAUCCUCCUCGUCAUGGGGUGGCUUCGAUCCCUCCUCUCUCCCGUGAAGAAGCUGUGGCUCCGUCUCCACACAACUCCAAAGAAGAGAAGAGGGAUAUAUAUCCUGUACGAGGAUGUCAAGUCCUGCCCCUGCGAGGACGUUCACGUCCUCUGGUCGAUCCUGGUAGAGUCCCACCCGCCCCCACUUCCAUGGAAGCAGUGACCUGAGAGUACUCCGAGGACGAGAAAGUUCCCCGCUCAUGUACAUAUACAGCGUAUUUAUGAUGUCCUACACCAAUACACCCACACUUUUCCUUCGGUAUCCUUUUCCUUCGUGUUUUUCUUUUUUCUUUUUUUCCCCAUCCGGUUUCGAUUCCCACUCGUUCUCUGUUAUCCUUUUGAGUUUUCGAGAUAUGAGAUAACUUUGAGUUGGGGUGAAUCUUAACAUGGCAUUAUGUCUCAAUUGAGGAAGUUUCUUCGCCAACAUGGCUUGUGAGGUGUGAACUCUUUUUAUGUAAAUGGUUGUUCAGCACAUAACAUAAACAAGCAUAAAGAUACAGAGGGUAGUUAGAAAGGAUUAUGUUCCUAA